rnacentral:rRNA from 1 species
GACGAACGCUGGCGGCGUGCUUAACACAUGCAAGUCGAACGGAAAGGCCCUGCUUUUGUGGGGUGCUCGAGUGGCGAACGGGUGAGUAACACGUGAGUAACCUGCCCUUGACUUUGGGAUAACUUCAGGAAACUGGGGCUAAUACCGGAUAGGAGCUCCUGCUGCAUGUCGGGGGUUGGAAAGUUUCGGCGGUUGGGGGUGGACUCGCGGCUUAUCAGCUUGUUGGUGGGGUAGUGGCUUACCAAGGCGUUUGACGGGUAGCCGGCCUGAGAGGGUGACCGGCCACAUUGGGACUGAGAUACGGCCCAGACUCCUACGGGAGGCAGCAGUGGGGAAUAUUGCACAAUGGGCGGAAGCCUGAUGCAGCAACGCCGCGUGCGGGAUGACGGCCUUCGGGUUGUAAACCGCUUUCGCCUGUGACGAAGCGUGAGUGACGGUAAUGGGUAAAGAAGCACCGGCUAACUACGUGCCAGCAGCAGCCGCCG